UUGUACAUAAUAGUUUCCAGCUUUUCCUGCCUAGCACUGUGUCCUCCUGAGCAUUCUUUCAAGUUGCUCUGAAAGGCAAUGUGCCGGAAUUCUAAAACAGUACAGUUAGAGUGUACUAAGUUCUGGAGCAGUUAUCUCCAGAGCAAAAACUGAGAAGGAAGCAAGAAAAAAAUGAGUGUAUUUUUUGCACAUGUUGAAAAGAAGGCAUCAUGACAAACAACAAAGAGGACAUCUACACCAGCCCAAGUCCACUGCAUGAGAGAGCGAGAAGAAAAGUAAUGCUGAGGGAAAGACAGGUCUCUAUUAGAGCAACAAGGGGAAAAACUACCUCUCUUCAACUCUCACCCAGGGAAAGGAAUGGAAUGGGAGAUCCACCUAAAGGAUAUUCUAAGUCCUAUACUGGACCUGUGCACGGAAGAGGAAGGUACUCACUCUUGGUCUGGGCAGAAAAGGUAAGAGUAAGUUUGGCGAAAAGUUCAUUGUUCUCAAAGCGGUCCUCCUUCACCUUUGUCCAGAAGCAGUCCUGGGACAAGUCCUCAGCAACAAACUGUAGAUACAGGCAGGGUGU